AGAGUUUGAUCAUGGCUCAGAACGAACGCUGGCGGCGUGCUUAACACAUGCAAGUCGAACGGGUUUAUUGGAUGUAGCAAUACAUUCAAUAGAUUAGUGGCGCACGGGUGAGUAACACGUAGGCAACCUACCCUUCAGUGGGGGACAACAGAGGGAAACUCCUGCUAAUACCGCAUACGGCCUUGUACUGGGAUGUACGAGGAGAAAGGAUUUAUUCGCUGAGGGAUGGGCCUGCGGCCUAUCAGGUAGUUGGUGGGGUAAAGGCCUACCAAGCCUGCGACGGGUAGCCGGACUGAGAGGUCGACCGGCCACACUGGAACUGAGACACGGUCCAGACUCCUACGGGAGGCAGCAGUGGGGAAUAUUGCACAAUGGGGGAAACCCUGAUGCAGCGACGCCGCGUGGAGGAUGACGGCCUUCGGGUUGUAAACUCCUUUUGUCAGGGACAAUGGUGAUGGUACCUGACGAAUAAGCCACGGCUAACUCUGUGCCAGCAGCCGCGGUAAGACAGAGGUGGCGAGCGUUGUUCGGAAUUACUGGGCUUAAAGGGCGCGUAGGCGGUGGUGUAAGUCUGGGGUGGAAUGCUACAGCUCAACUGUAGAGCUGCCUUGG
rnacentral:rRNA from 1 species